rnacentral:rRNA from 1 species
UACGAAGGGGGCUAGCGUUGCUCGGAAUCACUGGGCGUAAAGCGCACGUAGGCGGACUCUUAAGUCGGUGGUGAAAUCCUGGAGCUCAACUCCAGAACUGCCUCCGAUACUGGGAGCCUUCGAGUCCGGGAGAGGUGAGUGGAACUGCGAGUGUAGAGGUGAAAUUCGUAGAUAUUCGCAAGAACACCAGUGGCGAAGGCGGCUCACUGGCCCGGUACUGACGCUGAGGUGGCGAAAGCGUGGGGAGCAAACAGGG